rnacentral:rRNA from 1 species
UACGUAGGGUGCGAGCGUUAAUCGGAAUUACUGGGCGUAAAGCGUGCGCAGGCGGUUGUGCAAGACAGAUGUGAAAUCCCCGGGCUUAACCUGGGAACUGCAUUUGUGACUGCACAGCUAGAGUACGGCAGAGGGGGAUGGAAUUCCGCGUGUAGCAGUGAAAUGCGUAGAUAUGCGGAGGAACACCGAUGGCGAAGGCAGUCCCCUGGGCCUGUACUGACGCUCAUGCACGAAA